rnacentral:rRNA from 1 species
UACGUAGGGGUCUAGCGUUGUCCGGAAUUAUUGGGCGUAAAGAGCUCGUAGGCGGUUCGGCAAGUCGGAUGUGAAAUCUCCACGCUUAACGUGGAGAGGCCAUUCGAAACUGCCGUGACUCGAGUCCGGUAGGGGAGUGCGGAAUUCCCGGUGUAGCGGUGAAAUGCGCAGAUAUCGGGAGGAACACCCGUGGCUAAGGCGGUUCUCUAGUACGGUACUGACGCUGAGACGCGAAAGCGUGGGGAGCGAACAGG